rnacentral:lncRNA from 1 species
ACCUAGGGUUCGGGAAGUGAGAUUGGUGUGCCACGAGUGUCGUGAGUCCACCAAAUUUCAGAGAGAGAUCCAUCAGCCUCUCAAGUAACUGUGCAGAUGAUCCGAAGCAUCCGAGAAGUCGGCACACAUCGAUCGAAGGAGUUCGAUCAACAUCUGCCAUCAAAAGGGUGAAAUCACGAACUAGCAUUCGUGAGGAGCUGAUCAGACGGGAGCUUCGUGUGGACGAUCCGCAGAGGCCAGACAGUUGGGUGGCUGCGAUGUGAUGAUCAGAGCCCUCCGACGGUAAUUAGAUUGCGGUGAUCGACUACCCGCAAAAGGUGAUGUGUUCUGAACACAGUACUGUAAAACGUUUACUGAUUCAAAUUUGAAUUUCAAAUUUAAAUGCAUGUAGUUGUAUCAUAUUUAGAUCCUAGUGUAGGGUUAAUUAGUAUUAAUUAAUGAGAUUAAUUAAUAAUUCCGCUGUAAAAUAGUAAUUUUGA